rnacentral:rRNA from 1 species
UGGGGAAUAUUGCACAAUGGGCGCAAGCCUGAUGCAGCCAUGCCGCGUGUGUGAAGAAGGCCUUCGGGUUGUAAAGCACUUUCAGUCAGGAGGAAAGGUUAGUAGUUAAUACCUGCUAGCUGUGACGUUACUGACAGAAGAAGCACCGGCUAACUCCGUGCCAGCAGCCGCGGUAAUACGGAGGGUGCGAGCGUUAAUCGGAAUUACUGGGCGUAAAGCGUACGCAGGCGGUUUGUUAAGCGAGAUGUGAAAGCCCCGGGCUCAACCUGGGAACUGCAUUUCGAACUGGCAAACUAGAGUGUGAUAGAGGGUGGUAGAAUUUCAGGUGUAGCGGUGAAAUGCGUAGAGAUCUGAAGGAAUACCGAUGGCGAAGGCAGCCACCUGGGUCAACACUGACGCUCAUGUACGAAAGCGUGGGGAGCAAACGGGAUUAGAUACCCCGGUAGUCCACGCCGUAAACGAUGUCUACUAGAAGCUCGGAGCCUCGGUUCUGUUUUU